AUUUUCACUGUCAUGAUCGUGUGCAGGAUUGGACAAAACAAGAUGGCAGACGGCAUUUCCAAACAAAGAUCCAGUCAGGAGCGGACUUCCUUAAGCUUAAAAGUUGCAAGUGAAUGAAGUGUGUUCUAUUUUAUGUCUCCUAAUAAAACCAUGGUUUUGACAAACCUAAAAGAGCACGUGGAGCAAGGAACUAUCAGUAAGCCGGAAGAGCCAGCUCGAAAAUCUUUACGUGUUUGAGAAUUGCACCGCGCACAUGAAUCUAAAGUUCUGCCACACGUUAGAAGGAGCCUUGUUCUCGAAGAUCAACAUGUUGAAAAGUCUUCAUUUUGCAGAUGCAAAUACAUUUAUAUUGUAUAUACACAUGUAGACCAUGUUCGAUUCCCAACCACUUAACGUUUGUGAUAUCUGCAUGGAAUUAUUAAACUGAGCAUGGUUUGACGUAUAAUAAUCUCUUCAGGCAUGAUGGUUUACAUUUCACAAAGCUGUUCAAUGACAAUAAAGACAAUAAGAUGU